AAGUCGUAACAAGGUCUCCGUUGGUGAACCAGCGGAGGGAUCAUUACUGAGUACUACACUCUCUACCCUUUGUGAACUAUUAUACCUGUUGCUUCGGCGGCGCCCGCAAGGGUGCCCGCCGGUCUCAUCAGAAUCUCUGUUUUCGAACCCGACGAUACUUCUGAGUGUUCUUAGCGAACUGUCAAAACUUUUAACAACGGAUCUCUUGGCUCCAGCAUCGAUGAAGAACGCAGCGAAACGCGAUAUGUAAUGUGAAUUGCAGAAUUCAGUGAAUCAUCGAAUCUUUGAACGCACAUGGCGCCUUCCAGUAUCCUGGGAGGCAUGCCUGUCCGAGCGUCGUUUCAACCCUCGAGCCCCUGUGGCCCGGCGUUGGGGAUCUGCCACGGCAGGCCCCUAAAACCAGGUGGCGGACCCGAAGGGCCCUCUCCUUUGCGCAGUAGCAUUCGCCUCGCAUCGGGAGUCCUCGGCGUCCUGCCUCUAAACCCCCCACAAGCCCGCUUCGGCGGCACCAAGGUUGACCUCGGAUCAGGUAGGAAUACCCGCUGAACUUAA
rnacentral:rRNA from 1 species